UAAGACCUCUUGCGGUUCCCCCGGGAUGUGUUCUUCCCCAUUGCGAUGAGCAGUGGGGUCAACUGUGCCUGCAGGUGUGUUCCCGGUGACCUUAGGAUGGGUGACGUUGACAACGGAAGCAACACAGGCCAUCCAGGGGCAGCUGGACAAGGCUCACCUCCGGGGAGCCUACAUCUUCUUCCUGGACUCAGGUGUUUCCCUUCUCCCUGA
rnacentral:lncRNA from 1 species